UGGAAAUGGCGCAUCCUAGUAGCGAAGGGAGGAGUAGGAGCUACGGUCAGGUCAGUCCCCUAUUUUGUGCUGCUACUUUCCCCUUUCGUCAAAGGGAAGGGGAUUUCUAGAAUUGGGGAUUUCGGUUGAAGGUAGUAGAUUCCGAUUUUGUCCUACCCUUAGGUUUGUAUUCCAAUUAGUGUUAGAAGUUGAUAGGAUAUAGUUUAUGAAGUGCAAAACUAAACAUUAAUUUCAAGUUACAAUGACUUUAUGAAGCAUCCGAGUAUUCCAUCAUCUUCUUCCGUUUG
rnacentral:lncRNA from 1 species